CUUUUCCAUUGGCCACAGGAUAAAAAAAAAUUUUGGUUGUAGCUAUUAAUUAUCUCACUAAAUGGAUGAAAGCUAAACCUCUGGCAUAAAUCACCAAAAAAAAAGAUAUAGAAUUUUGUGUGAAAAUCAAUUAUCUACCAUUUCAGUUUGCUUCGAGUCAUAAUCACUCAUAAUGGAUGACAAUUUGAUAAUCAAAAAUUUAAAAAAUUCUAUUUUAAGCUCUAUAUUGAUCAUAGAUAUAUCUCGAUUGAUUAUUCAUAAUCAAAUAGAGAAGCCAAAGUCACUAACUGAACUAUAUCCUUCAAGAUCUGAAGAUAAAGCUCGCUGAAGCUAAAGGAC
rnacentral:lncRNA from 1 species